rnacentral:lncRNA from 1 species
UGGUUAUGUCAGCAGAGUCAGAGCCUUGCCCAUCCUGUGUGUAUGACUGCAGGUUUGACGUCGUCGGUAUCCUGCAGGUUGCUCACUGGGUAUCGCAGAGUCUGACCUUCAACUCCCAGCAGUCCUGCAGCUUGACUUCCAGGCAUGGAUAAAAGUCCUGUUCUUGACAAACUUGCCCCAUGAAGAGCACGCUAAAGUGGGAUGGACACCCAUUUCACUUUAAAUCCGGGUGUUUAAAUGUGU